UCCUUUCAAAGUUGCGUCGUCGAUGAAGGUCUGAUCGGUCUCAGUCGUCGACAGCUAGCUUAUAAGACCCUUCAUUUUUGUUUUAUUUCAAGGGAAGGAAGGAUCACGUGAAUGCAUCGUGGACAGCUUCUCCUUUCGCAGGAGCAGCAUGUGAAAUGCGAUACCUCUUGCCGACGCGCUCUUUUUUCUUCUUCUUUUGGUAUGAUAACACAACCGCGAAACACCCGUCUGGCUUUUUCCAAACGCUCUUUGGGAACACCAACCACACACACACAAAAAAGAAACCGUUAUCGCCCUCGCAAGAUGCAUUUUCGACUGGUGGUAUACGCUGUCUGCCACGUACGAGCUUCCAGCAGUGAGUGUGCCACGUAAGAGCCAAGUGAUAUUUACUCCGUAUCUCGUCGGAUGACCAUUGCUGAGCCAAAGGCGUACGGCAGUUACUGCAGCUGGACAUCGAUGGACGUAGAUGUUAUGGUCAAUCUGAGUCACGGUAGUGCAUUUUCCCUGUUUCAGUGUUGGUUUUGUAAAUUCUGUUGUAGCUACGAAAACGAACAGGGAAACAGCACUCAGAAAGGACAAGGUGUAGCAGAACAUCUCCGGACAUCUAUUUACCAUGACGACCUACAGUAAAAUGAGACAACUCGUCAUGGAUUUCAAUAUUUAUUGGUAUGAGGACGGCGACAUUUUCCUUGGAGUUGAUGAUCCUGGGUAACGUCCCGCAUGCCGCACACAUCAUCACCCGAUUGGGACCAGGAAUCGCCAGCGUUGGCUGGCUGUUCGACAUCGGACCAGUGAUCGCCAGUCAUUUCGUCGUCGGUGGUGGCAGGUAGUUCUCCGGAACCCAAGUCCUUCUACGACUUCCAGAAGGUUGCAACAGCCGGUCCAACGUGUCCGAAGGAUCAUCGUCGUCAUCAUUGCAUCAGUGUACAAGUAAGCAUCAUGUCUUCGUCGAUCUUGCAUAAACUUGACAAGCUAAAGAAAUGUGGAGAGUUUCAAAAAAUGGCGACAAUUCCUAAAAACAUCAAGUAUGAUGUGGUUGAUGUUAACAAAAUUGAAACGAGGUAUGGCGAGGCGGUCUACGUAGAAAUUAUGAAGGAUCACGAGCACGUAAAGGUGUUCCUUCCAGCUCGGUUUCAUAAACUAGGCACUCAAGACAUCGAAGACAUGAGGAACACGAGCGGACUCUGGAUGGAGAAGAAAGAGCGAGUUGGAAAAGACGGGAAACGUCUUCUUUCGCCAGACAUCGUGUUCGGUCAAUCCGAGUAAAAAAAUAAAAAGAAAUGGUUACAUGCCACCUUUGUCCUCCGGCCGAUCGGCAGCACUACACUACAGCGCUGGGACUUCAAAUUCAUCUGGCUAACGUUCCUAACCUUGCAACACCCUGUAUCCCAUUUUGUGAGACACUCUGUACGCUCCGCAACUAUACCAACCGCUAUGAGCUUCAUCUACAUGACAGAGACGACGACGGGCAGGAUGUCAGCACAUUCUUUCAUGAAAACGGACGCUACCUUGCCAGUGUACUUCGACAUUUCGGAUUUCCGUUACGCUUUUAUGUUUUGCUGAAGGCGGAACUCGGUCGACAUACGCCUGAGGAUGAGAUCAUAUUUGUCACUCAAUUUAUUCCUUCGAGUGUGCAUACGCUGUGGUCGGAACGAGACGUAGAACGUGCUGUCAUUGAAGUAGGCACUGAAGUCACCAACAAUUUAGAAAAGCUUGAAAUGCAAGGAUCCGGAUUUUU